rnacentral:tRNA from 6 species
GGGGAUAUACCAGAGUGGCCAAAUGGGACAGACUGUAAAUCUGUUGUUUCGACUUCGGAGGUUCGAAUCCUCCUGUCCCCA